rnacentral:tRNA from 4 species
GAGCCCUUAGCUCAGCCGGUAGAGCAACUGACUUUUAAUCAGUAGGUCGUGGGUUCGAGUCCCACAGGGCUCACCA